UACGGGGGGGGCAAGCGUUGUUCGGAAUUACUGGGCGUAAAGCGCGCGCAGGCGGCCUCGCGCGCCCGACGUGAAAGCCCCCGGCUUAACCGGGGAGGGUCGUUGGGGACGGCGGGGCUUGAGGGCGGGAGAGGUCGGUGGAAUUCCCGGUGUAGUGGUGAAAUGCGUAGAGAUCGGGAGGAACACCUGUGGCGAAGGCGGCCGACUGGGCCGACCCUGACGCUGAGGCGCGAAGGCGUGGGGAGCGAACGGG
rnacentral:rRNA from 1 species